CCUACGGGAGGCAGCAGUGGGGAAUAUUGCACAAUGGGGGGAACCCUGAUGCAGCGAUGCCGCGUGGAGGAAGAAGGUUUUCGGAUUGUAAACUCCUUUUAUCAGGGACGAUCAUGACGGUACCUGAAGAAAAAGAUACGGCUAACUACGUGCCAGCAGCCGCGGGAAUACGUAGGGAGCGAGCGUUGUACGGAAUAACUGGGUGUAAAGGGAACGUAGGAGGGACGGCAAGUCAGAUGUGAAAACUGAGGGCUCAACCUUCAGACUGCAUUUGACACUGCUGUUCUUGAGGGAAGUAGAGGUAAGCGGAAGUCCUGGUGUAGCGGUGAAAUGCGUAGAUAUUAAGAGGAACAUCGGUGGCGAAGGCGGCUUACUGGGCUUUUACUGACGCUGAGGCUCGAAGGCGUGGGGAGCAAACAGGAUUAGAUACCCUUGUAGUC
rnacentral:rRNA from 1 species